rnacentral:lncRNA from 1 species
UCCGCGUCUCGGGGCUCACGUCCCUCUCCCACCCUCCCUAGUCCCUCCCCAGGUCCGGGUGUCUCAGAGUCUGGACCCUUCCAGACGCCGGCCCGGCCUUUCCAGCUCCGCCCCGGACUCCACCCCGGGCUGCUCCAGGCUGCAAGACCCGGGGCUCAGCCGGGACCCCCACUCCCGAGGCCCGCCUCCUUCUCCACCCCUUCACACCCCCAAACACGCCUGGCGGCCUCUGGUCCACUGGGGACCCUCAACUUGGGGGAAGAGCGGGAGGAGUCUUUGGGGGCAGGGGCGGGGGGGCGGGGUUACGUGCUCCGGCUGUGGGGGGACGCUGUAGCGCUAAGAGGAAGGGGGUCUCAAACCCCAAGCCUGCCACCUUUCAGUAUCACGCAGAGAAGCUGAGAUGCUGGGAAGGCCUGGGAUGCUUGGAGCGGAGGGCUUUAAGGAUGGUCAGGAGGAAGCUAAUGUGACUGUUGGGGCCCUUGGAGAUAUUAUCUGGGCGAAGUGGCAGUCCCUGCUCACCGACUUACCGGUUGUGUAUCCUGGGCAAGACGACUUCCUGCUGUCUGGGCCUCAGUUUCCUCAUCUGUAAAACGGGGACUUGACCAGCUGAUUCAAAGGGCACUUUUAAUUUACUGUUUUAGUGCUGCAGAGGGUGAGUGUCCAGACCCAUGGGCUCUGUGGGCUCCCCAGACUCAGCCUGUGGAAAUGGAGCUCCUCACAGCCCCCAAACCAGCCCCCACCCCAUCUCAGGGAUGGCCUGUUUUUGUAGCCCCUACCAUCCCUGUGAAUGGAUCUGCAAGCCUAACCCCUAAAGCCACUGGAAUCCAGCUCUAGCCAGCUUUCCUGGCAGCCCACCCUUCUCCAGACCCAAACUCACCUAUCUCCUAUCCUGGACCCCAGAGCUGUCUUCUUUCUUAGGAGUCUGUGGCCACACCCUCCUCCUUGCCCCACUACCCUCAAGUUUCUUGUCCUGGUCAUUACGGACUGUGCUGUUUGAGCAAUUUCCUCCGGAGGUGACUCCCCAACAGGCCCUCUCUCAGUGCUUCCAGCUCCCAUGGCCCCCAAAAAGCCAGACCCCAAGAAGGACGACGCCAAGGCAGCCGCGAAGGCAGCUCCCGCUCCAGCGCCACCACCACCUGCGCCUGAGCCCGAGCGCCCCAAGGAAGCCGAGUUUGAUGCCUCCAAAAUCAAGGUGGGUGUGGGAGCUGGGUUUCGGCAGGAAGGACAGGGCAGGUAAGUGGGUCCCAGAGUGGACCUACCCAGUGGCAGGCCAGACUCCGGAAAGUGAG